UACGAGGGGUGCAAGCGUUGCUCGGAAUUAUUGGGCGUAAAGGGUAGGUAGGUGGUCUCAUUUGUCAGGGGUGAAAUCCUUGGGCUUAACUCAAGAAGUGCCCCUGAAACGGUGAGACUGGAGUCCUGGAGAGGUGAGUGGAAUUCCCGGUGUAGCGGUGAAAUGCGUAGAGAUCGGGAGGAACACCAGAGGCGAAGGCGGCUCACUGGACAGGUACUGACACUCAACUACGAAAGCGUGGGGAGCGAACAGG
rnacentral:rRNA from 1 species